rnacentral:rRNA from 1 species
CCUACGGGGGGCUGCAGUGGGGAAUAUUGGACAAUGGGGGCAACCCUGAUCCAGCCAUGCCGCGUGUGUGAAGAAGGCCCUCGGGUUGUAAAGCACUUUCAGUGAGGAAGAACGCCUGGUGGUUAAUACCCAUCAGGAAAGACAUCACUCACAGAAGAAGCACCGGCUAACUCCGUGCCAGCAGCCGCGGUAAUACGGAGGGUGCGAGCGUUAAUCGGAAUUACUGGGCGUAAAGCGCGCGUAGGUGGCUUGAUAAGCCGGUUGUGAAAGCCCCGGGCUCAACCUGGGAACGGCAUACGGAACUGUCAAGCUAGAGUGCAGGAGAGGAAGGUAGAAUUCCCGGUGUAGCGGUGAAAUGCGUAGAGAUCGGGAGGAAUACCAGUGGCGAAGGCGGCCUUCUGGACUGACACUGACACUGAGGUGCGAAAGCGUGGGUAGCAAACAGGAUUAGAUACCCUGGUAGUC